AAGAGAAAAACAAAGAGAUAAACCCCAACUUUAAAAAAACCCACAGAUAAUAUAGAUUCCAAAGUAAAAUCUUCUUCCUACUUCCCUCACCACCACUAUCAAAUGAUUCUUCAUCAGUCGCACCAUCGUCCACUACACUCUCUUCUGUCCUCAUCCUCGAAGUAUUUCAUUAGAUAUACAGCUAAUUCCCUGUUACCAAUCAUCCAAUUUAAUCUACUAGUACAGCAACAUCAUUAUUAUCAUCUUUCACCAAAACCAAUUUCCAUUUAUCCCCAUUUCUGGCACCAAAAAUCUGGGUUUUAUACUUCUUGUAAGGCCAGUGAACAGCAAUCUAGUGGGAAUGUAGAUGUAGUUAAUAGAUUGGCAGCUUUGAUGCAAAAAUUAGAGCAGCUAGGGAUUUCUUCACCUUCUUGCAAACCUGGCCAGUACACUCAUUUGAGGUGCCAUGAGUGUCAGGGUGGGAAAUCCAAGGAGAAAUCACUAUCUCUUUUCAUCACACCUGAUUGCAAUACUGCAGUGUGGAACUGCUUCAGGGGAAAAUGUGGAUCAAGAGGCACAAUUAAGGGCUUUGAAAAUGUCUUCGGAUCGUCUGACAUGAUUUCCCAUCAUGAGAAAAGUUACACCAAGAGAGCUGUUAUGGCAGACAGAUUUGCAAAUGCGGCAUCCUCUGGCAAGAUUUUCCAUAUUGAAAAGAGUAAAACCAAGAGAGUUAUCACGGAGGAGAGCAUUGGACUCGAACCAUUAUGCAAGGAGCUAAUUGCCUACUUUGCAGAGAGAAUGAUAUCUGGAGAAACUCUCCGGAGGAAUGCCGUCAUGCAAAAAAUGCAAAAAUCUGGUAUCGAGGCUGCAAUUGCUUUUACCUAUAAACGAAAUGGAGUGCUUGUUAGCUGCAAAUAUCGAGAUAUUAACAAACACUUUUGGCAGGAGAAGGAUACUGAGAAAAUACUGUAUGGAGUCGAUGAUAUAAAAGGUGCCACUGAUAUUAUAAUUGUUGAGGGUGAAAUUGAUAAGCUUUCAAUGGAGGAAGCUGGAAUUCUUAAUUGUGUCAGUGUUCCUAAUGGGGCACCUUCCAAGGUUUCCAAUAAAGAGUUACCUCCUGAAAAUGAGGUAUCCCUUUCAAACCUUCAUAUGCGAUUUUCUGCUAUGUUGAUUUAUUAAGUCCUUUCUUCAAUGACUGAAAGAACUCUGGAGAAAACUUGCUGGGAACAGCACACUGUUUUCUUUCUGUUGUUAGGGUUAACUUAAUGAUGGUCUGAGUGCGUGCACAACAAUCCGGUGUAAAGGGUGUAAGAUGAAAUGUGCUAGUGUUUCCAUUCUAGUAGUAAGGAAAAGCUCGUAGUACAAAGGUCAAAAUGGGGUUCAAGUUUCUACAUACAUGUCUAGCAUUGGUACAAAGUAUGAUUUCAGCUCAAGGAACUCCCCAGGUGUAAGGAACACAGGCUUCCCUCGUUUGCAGAUGUCUAAUAAAUUUUGCUUCUUCAUGCUAGCUUGAGUGUGGUGGUCUAAUGCUCUUGUUGUGUUUUCUUUUCAAACUAGGACAAAUACUAUCAGUACUUGUGGAACUGCAAAGAAUACUUUGGAAAGGCAUCUCGUAUUAUUCUUGCAACCGAUGCAGAUCAACCUGGCCAAGCCUUAGCGGAAGAACUUGCACUUCGUCUUGGAAGAGAAAGGUGUUGGCGAGUCAGAUGGCCAAAGAAGAUUAGUGGCGAUGUUUGUAAAGAUGCAAAUGAGGUGCUUAUGUUUUUAGGACCACAUGCACUGAAGGAAAUGAUUGAACAAGCUGAAUUCUAUCCAAAAGAGAAAAUAGAGUCAUGAUAGGAAUACCAACACCCUCCCAUGAUCCUUGUAAAUUGGAUCUCAUCUGACUGCGUUGUUGUGGCAUAUACUGGUAUUGUUGUUUAUACUGUCCAUUACACAAUGUAGGUUUAUGGUUGGGGGACUGUAACUAGGUUUGGCAACCUCGUACAUAACUAGAUCAGGUGUAACUUAAACAUCAUUUUUGGCAUACAACACAUGUAUAGAGAGCUAUUAAUCUUAACUGACGGUCGAUUGAGAAAAACAUAGAGUUUGUGUCGUAUAGGAUUUUAUUUAAGCUAAUCUUGCAUGCUAUUGCAUGGGUUUGUGGUUUCA